rnacentral:rRNA from 1 species
GACGAACGCUGGCGGCGUGCCUAAUACAUGCAAGUUGAGCGCUGAAGGUUGGUACUUGUACCAACUGGAUGAGCAGCGAACGGGUGAGUAACGCGUGGGGAAUCUGCCUUUGAGCGGGGGACAACAUUUGGAAACGAAUGCUAAUACCGCAUAAAAACUUUAAACACAAGUUUUAAGUUUGAAAGAUGCAAUUGCAUCACUCAAAGAUGAUCCCGCGUUGUAUUAGCUAGUUGGUGAGGUAAAGGCUCACCAAGGCGAUGAUACAUAGCCGACCUGAGAGGGUGAUCGGCCACAUUGGGACUGAGACACGGCCCAAACUCCUACGGGAGGCAGCAGUAGGGAAUCUUCGGCAAUGGACGAAAGUCUGACCGAGCAACGCCGCGUGAGUGAAGAAGGUUUUCGGUUCGUAAAACUCUGUUGGUAGAGAAGAACGUUGGUGAGAGUGGAAAGCUCAUCAAGUGACGGUAACUACCCAGAAAGGGACGGCUAACUACGUG